GUGCUCACUUUGGCAGCAUAUAUACUAAAAUUGGAACGAUACAGAGAUUAGUGUGGCCCCUGCACAAGGAUGACAUGCAAAUUAGUGAAGCAUUCCGUACAUUU